rnacentral:rRNA from 1 species
ACAAAAAUACACAUAUUGUGAGCUCGAUGAGUAGGGCGGGACACGUGGUAUCCUGUCUGAAUAUGGGGGGACCAUCCUCCAAGGCUAAAUACUCCUGACUGACCGAUAGUGAACCAGUACCGUGAGGGAAAGGCGAAAAGAACCCCGGCGAGGGGAGUGAAAAAGAACCUGAAACCGUGUACGUACAAGCAGUGGGAGCACGCUUAGGCGUGUGACUGCGUACCUUUUGUAUAAUGGGUCAGCGACUUAUAUUCUGUAGCAAGGUUAACCGAAUAGGGGAGCCGAAGGGAAACCGAGUCUUAACUGGGCGUUAAGUUGCAGGGUAUAGACCCGAAACCCGGUGAUCUAGCCAUGGGCAGGUUGAAGGUUGGGUAACACUAACUGGAGGACCGAACCGACUAAUGUUGAAAAAUUAGCGGAUGACUUGUGGCUGGGGGUGAAAGGCCAAUCAAACCGGGAGAUAGCUGGUUCUCCCCGAAAGCUAUUUAGGUAGCGCCUCGUGAAUUCAUCUCCGGGGGUAGAGCACUGUUUCGGCAAGGGGGUCAUCCCGACUUACCAACCCGAUGCAAACUGCGAAUACCGGAGAAUGUUAUCACGGGAGACACACGGCGGGUGCUAACGUCCGUCGUGAAGAGGGAAACAACCCAGACCGCCAGCUAAGGUCCCAAAGUCAUGGUUAAGUGGGAAACGAUGUGGGAAGGCCCAGACAGCCAGGAUGUUGGCUUAGAAGCAGCCAUCAUUUAAAGAAAGCGUAAUAGCUCACUGGUCGAGUCGGCCUGCGCGGAAGAUGUAACGGGGCUAAACCAUGCACCGAAGCUGCGGCAGCGAUGCUUAUGCGUUGUUGGGUAGGGGAGCGUUCUGUAAGCCUGCGAAGGUGUGCUGUGAGGCAUGCUGGAGGUAUCAGAAGUGCGAAUGCUGACAUAAGUAACGAUAAAGCGGGUGAAAAGCCCGCUCGCCGGAAGACCAAGGGUUCCUGUCCAACGUUAAUCGGGGCAGGGUGAGUCGACCCCUAAGGCGAGGCCGAAAGGCGUAGUCGAUGGGAAACAGGUUAAUAUUCCUGUACUUGGUGUUACUGCGAAGGGGGGACGGAGAAGGCUAUGUUGGCCGGGCGACGGUUGUCCCGGUUUAAGCGUGUAGGCUGGUUUUCCAGGCAAAUCCGGAAAAUCAAGGCUGAGGCGUGAUGACGAGGCACUACGGUGCUGAAGCAACAAAUGCCCUGCUUCCAGGAAAAGCCUCUAAGCAUCAGGUAACAUCAAAUCGUACCCCAAACCGACACAGGUGGUCAGGUAGAGAAUACCAAGGCGCUUGAGAGAACUCGGGUGAAGGAACUAGGCAAAAUGGUGCCGUAACUUCGGGAGAAGGCACGCUGAUAUGUAGGUGAAGUCCCUUGCGGAUGGAGCUGAAAUCAGUCGAAGAUACCAGCUGGCUGCAACUGUUUAUUAAAAACACAGCACUGUGCAAACACGAAAGUGGACGUAUACGGUGUGACGCCUGCCCGGUGCCGGAAGGUUAAUUGAUGGGGUCAGCGCAAGCGAAGCUCUUGAUCGAAGCCCCGGUAAACGGCGGCCGUAACUAUAACGGUCCUAAGGUAGCGAAAUUCCUUGUCGGGUAAGUUCCGACCUGCACGAAUGGCGUAAUGAUGGCCAGGCUGUCUCCACCCGAGACUCAGUGAAAUUGAACUCGCUGUGAAGAUGCAGUGUACCCGCGGCAAGACGGAAAGACCCCGUGAACCUUUACUAUAGCUUGACACUGAACAUUGAGCCUUGAUGUGUAGGAUAGGUGGGAGGCUUUGAAGUG